UACGUAGGUCACAAGUGCUAUCCGGAAUUAUUGGGCGUAAAGGGUCCGUAGGCGGUUUUGUAAGUCAGAUGUGAAAUCCCCGGGCUCAACCUGGGAACUGCGUUUGAAACUACAAGACUAGAGUGUAGCAGAGAGGGGUGGAAUUCCACGUGUAGCAGUGAAAUGCGUAGAGAUGUGGAGGAACACCGAUGGCGAAGGCAGCCCCCUGGGUUAACACUGACGCUCAGGCACGAAAGCAUGGGGAGCAAACAGG
rnacentral:rRNA from 1 species